GAUGAACGCUGGCGGCGUGCCUAAUACAUGCAAGUCGAGCGAAGCGGGGACGGGUGAGUAACACGUGGAUAACCUCCUAUCAGACAGGGAUAAGUUCUGGAAACCGGACCUAAAACGGAUAAUUAUUGAAGGAACCGCGCUGCAUUAGCUAGUUGGUAAGGUAACGGCUUACCAAGGCAACGAUGCAUAGCCGACCUGAGAGGGGGAUCUGCCACACUGGAACUGAGACACGGUCCAGACUCCUACGGGAGGCAGCAGUAGGGAAUCUUCCGCAAUGGUCGAAAGCCUGACGGAGCAACGCCGCGUGAGUGAUGAAGGUCUUCGGAUCGUAAAACUCUGUUAGUAGGGAAGCGGUACCUAAUCAGAAAGCCACGGCUAACUACGUGCCAGCCGCCGCGGUAAUUC
rnacentral:rRNA from 1 species